CAAUCUGCCCAUAUCUGGGGGAUAACAGUUGGAAACGACUGAUAAUACCGCAUAACAUGGUUUGAAGGCAUCUUCUUUCCAUCAAAGAUUUAUCGGAUAUGGAUGAGCUCGCGUCUGAUUAGCUUGUUGGUGAGGUAACGGCUCACCAAGGCGACGAUCAGUAGCCGACCUGAGAGGGUGAUCGGCCACAUUGGAACUGAGACACGGUCCAAACUCCUACGGAAGGCAGCAG
rnacentral:rRNA from 1 species